GAUGAACGCUGGCGGCGUGCCUAAUACAUGCAAGUCGAGCGAACAGACGAGGCGCUUGCUCCUCUGACGUUAGCGGCGGACGGGUGAGUAACACGUGGAUCACCUACCUAUCAGACUGGGAUAACUUCGGGAAACCGGAGCUAAUCCCGGAUAAUCUAUUGAACCGCAUGGUUCAAUAGUGAAAGACGGUUUUGCUGUCACUUAUAGCUGGUUCCGCGCCGCAUUAGCUAGUUGGUAAGGUAACGGCUUACCAAGGCAACGAGGCGUAGCCGACUUGGGAGGGUAACCGGCCAGACAGGAACGGAGACACGAGCGGGACUCAGACGGGAGGCAGAGGAAGAGAAUAGUCAGCAGUGGGGAAAAUCCUAAAGGGGCAGCACGGCGGAAGUGAUAAAGGUCUGCGGAUGGUAAAGCCCUGUGAUUAGGAAAGAACAAAUGUGUAAGUAACAAUGCGCGUGUUGGCGGUGCCUAAUCAAAAACCGGCGAAUAACUAC
rnacentral:rRNA from 1 species